CAAAAAGCUGGAGUAACUCAGCGGGUCAUGCAGCAUCUCUGAAGAAAAGGAAUAGGUGCCAUUAUGGGUCAAUACCCUUCUUCAGACUGAGAGCCAGGGGAAGGCGAAAUUAGAGAAAUAGACGGUGAUAUUGAGAGAUAUACAAUAAAUGAAUGAAACAUAUUUAUUCAGAAU